rnacentral:rRNA from 1 species
GUGGGGAAUUUUGGACAAUGGGCGCAAGCCUGAUCCAGCAAUGCCGCGUGCAGGAAGAAGGCCUUCGGGUUGUAAACUGCUUUUGUACGGAACGAAACGGUCCUGGCUAAUAUCCGGGGCUAAUGACGGUACCGUAAGAAUAAGCACCGGCUAACUACGUGCCAGCAGCCGCGGUAAUACGUAGGGUGCGAGCGUUAAUCGGAAUUACUGGGCGUAAAGCGUGCGCAGGCGGUGCUGUAAGACAGGCGUGAAAUCCCCGGGCUCAACCUGGGAAUUGCGCUUGGGACUGCAGUGCUGGAGUGCGGCAGAGGGGGAUGGAAUUCCGCGUGUAGCAGUGAAAUGCGUAGAUAUGCGGAGGAACACCGAUGGCGAAGGCAAUCCCCUGGGCCUGCACUGACGCUCAUGCACGAAAGCGUGGGGAGCAAACAGGAUUAGAUACCCGAGUAGUCC